AUGGUGUUCAUCACAUCCCCGAACCACAAAACCCUAAACCUGAAUCUCAACCCGAAAACCACCACCCUCGAAACCCUAAAGCUCCAAAUCGAACAAACCUCCCACAUCCCCAUCUCCCAGCAGCGCCUCUUCAUCUCCCAAAGCCUCCAACUCCUCACCCAAUCCGACUCCACCCUCCUCUCCGACCUCAACAUCUCCCCCCUCUCAACCCUAACCCUCCACAUCCCCCUCUUCGGCGGCACCCAACCCCCGCCGUCCCCAAACCCCGCCUCGAUUUCCUCAACUCCAAGCCCCCCGCCAACUAUGUCGCCGGUCUCGGCCGUGGCGCCACCGGCUUCACCACCCGUUCCGAUAUCGGACCUGCCCGCGCCGCUCCUGACUUGCCCGAUCGCUCCGCCACGACUAUCGGCGGGGCUGCCGGGGCUGCUCCGCCUGGGGCGGGGCGUGGCCGCGGGAAGCCGGAGGAGGAGGAGGAAGACGACGGCGAGGAGAAAGGCUACGAUGAGAAUCAGAAGUUUGAUGAGUUCGAAGGAAACGACGUCGGUUUGUUCGCGUCGGCGGAGUACGACGACGAGGACAAGGAGGCCGACGCUGUGUGGGAGGCGAUUGAGCAGAGGAUGGACUCGAGGAGGAAGGACAGGAGGGAAGCGAGGUUGAAGCAAGAGAUUGAGAAGUACAGAGCUUCAAAUCCCAAAAUCACGGAGCAGUUUGCGAAUUUGAAGAGGCAGCUGUAUACUGUUUCGGCUGAGGAAUGGGAUAAGAUACCGGACAUUGGGGAUUAUUCGGCCAGGAACAAGAAGAGGAAGUUUGAGAGCUUUGUGCCGGUGCCGGAUACUCUUUUCGAGAAGGCUAGGCAGGAACAGGAGCAUGUUACUGCAUUGGACCCCAAGAGUAGGGCGGCCACUGGUACAGAGACGCCGUGGUCGCAAACGCCGGUUACAGAUUUGACCGCAGUUGGUGAUGGCAGGAGUACUGUGUUGUCUUUGAAAUUAGAUAGGCUUUCGGAUUCUGUUUCAGGGCUGACAGUCGUGGACCCUAAGGGGUAUCUUACUGAUCUUAAGAGUAUGAAGAUUACUAGUGAUGCGGAGAUUUCGGAUAUAAAGAAGGCUAGGUUGUUGCUCAAGAGUGUGACACAGACUAAUCCGAAGCAUCCACCUGGUUGGAUUGCGGCUGCGAGGUUGGAGGAAGUGGCGGGGAAGAUACAGGCAGCAAGGCAAUUGAUCCAGAAAGGGUGUGAGGAAUGUCCCAAGAGUGAGGAUGUUUGGUUGGAGGCAUGUCGGCUUGCCAGUCCUGACGGAGCCAAGGCUGUGAUUGCUGCUGGAGUAAAGUCAAUACCCAAUUCAGUCAAGCUGUGGAUGCAGGCGGCGAAAUUGGAGCAUGAUGACUCGAAUAAGAGUAGGGUGUUGAGGAAAGGGUUGGAACACAUUCCUGAUUCUGUUAGGCUAUGGAAGGCGGUGGUGGAGCUGGCGAAUGAGGAGGAUGCCAGACUUUUGCUUCAUAGGGCUGUGGAGUGUUGUCCCUUGCACAUAGAGUUGUGGCUUGCUCUAGCGAGAUUGGAGACUUAUGACAAUGCCAAGAAGGUCCUUAACAAGGCCCGGGAGAAGCUUUCAAAAGAGCCUGCCAUUUGGAUUACUGCAGCAAAGUUGGAAGAAGCUAAUGGGAAUACAUCAGUUGGGAAGAUUAUUGAAAGGGGUAUAAGGGCUCUGCAAAGAGAGGGAUUGGUGAUUGAUAGAGAAGCAUGGAUGAAGGAGGCUGAAGCUGCCGAGCGUGCAGGGUCUGUGGCAACUUGCCAAGCCAUUAUUCGGAACACUAUUGGGAUUGGCGUGGAGGAAGAAGAUAGGAAGAGGACAUGGGUUGCUGAUGCAGAGGAGUGCAAGAAACGUGGUUCCAUUGAAACAGCCAGAGCUAUCUAUGCUCAUGCACUUACUGUCUUCUUAAGUAAGAAGAGCAUAUGGCUUAAAGCAGCACAGCUCGAAAAGAGUCAUGGAACUAGGGAAUCUCUUGAUGCCCUGCUUCGUAAAGCAGUUACCUACCGACCACAGGCGGAAGUCUUAUGGCUUAUGGGUGCGAAGGAGAAGUGGCUUGCUGGGGACGUAUUUAAUGCCCGUAAAAUCCUCGAAGAAGCUUAUGCUGCCAUUCCGAAUUCUGAAGAGAUUUGGCUUGCUGCAUUUAAGCUUGAAUUUGAGAAUCAUGAACCUGAGAGAGCUAGGUUGCUUCUUGCUAAAGCCCGAGAAAAGGGAGGAACAGAGAGAGUAUGGAUGAAAUCAGCAAUCGUCGAAAGAGAAUUAGGGAACCUCGAUGAGGAGAGGAAGUUGCUUGCUGAAGGAUUGAAACGCUUCCCUUCGUUCUUUAAAUUGUGGUUGAUGCUUGGACAGCUAGAGGAACGGCUUAACCAUUUGGACAAAGCCAAGGAGACUUAUGACUCGGGUCUUAAGCACUGCUCCAAUUCUAUACCACUCUGGCUUUCUCUUGCAAAUCUUGAAGAGAAGAUGAAUGGGCUGAGUAAAGCUCGUGCAGUUCUUACGAUGGCCAGGAAGAAGAAUCCUCAGAACCCUGAACUGUGGCUUGCUGCUGUUCGAGCUGAAUUGAGGCAUGGUAAUAAGAAGGAAGCUGAUAUUUUGAUGGCAAAGGCCUUGCAGGAGUGUCCCAAUAGUGGUAUCUUGUGGGCAGCUUCUAUUGAGAUGGUACCGCGUCCCCAAAGGAAGACCAAAAGUAUGGAUGCCCUCAAGAAAUGUGAUCACGAUCCCCAUGUCAUUGCUGCUGUGGCCAAGUUAUUCUGGCUCGACAGGAAGGUUGACAAAGCUAGGACUUGGCUCAACAGGGCAGUGACACUUGCCCCAGAUAUUGGAGAUUUCUGGGCUUUAUACUACAAAUUUGAACUUCAGAAUGGGACUGACGAGAACCAGAAGGAUGUACUAAAACGAUGCAUUGCUGCAGAACCAAAGCAUGGUGAAAAAUGGCAACCUAUUUCAAAGGCAGUGGAGAACUCUCACCAACCAACAGAGGCUAUCUUGAAGAAGGUAGUUGUUGCCCUUGGCAAGGAAGAGAGUGCAGCUGAAAAUAAUAGACAGUAGGUCUGGCAGUCUGGCUUGUCAAUUCCAGGUUAGGUUUUAGUUAUUUAAUGAGUUUUUAGCAAUGACAAAUCGAUGUGGAGUUUUACAUCAUAUCCUGCGAGAAAAAGUUACUCUACUAUUACUCAUUUUCUCUGUAUUACUCAUUUAAUCUUUACUUCUUUCUAUGAAUAUUAUAUCGGUUAAUAGUUGGAUGAUGAAGCUUUUCUUUAAUUAUUGUUUGAAAUACGAUGCACUUGUGCAUGUUCUUUUGUAUCUGC